CCUACGGGAGGCAGCAGUGAGGAAUAUUGGUCAAUGGGAGGGAUCCUGAACCAGCCAAGCAGCGUGCAGGAUGACGGCCCUAUGGGUUGUAAACCUCUUUUGUCGGAGAACAAAACCCGUGACGUGUCCCGGAUUGCGUGUAUCCGAAGAAAAAGCAUCGGCUAAUUCCGUGCCAGCAGCCGCGGUAAUACGGAGGGUGCGAGCGUUAUCCGGAUUUAUUGGGUUUAAAGGGGGCGUAGGCGGGCCGUUAAGUGUGCGGUGAAAUUGCCGGGCUCAACCCCGGCCAUGCGGGGGAAACUGGCGGGCUUGAGUUGGCGGGAAGUACGCGGAAUGCGUGGUGUAGCGGUGAAAUGCAUAGAUAUCGCGAAGAACUCCGAUUGCGAAGGCAGCGUACUGGAGCGCAACUGACGCUGAUGCACGAAAGCGUGGGUAUCGAACAGGAUUAGAUACCCGUGUAGUC
rnacentral:rRNA from 1 species